rnacentral:snRNA from 1 species
GAGGCGCUGUCUACGAGU